rnacentral:rRNA from 1 species
AUUGAACGCUGGCGGCAGGCCUAACACAUGCAAGUCGAACGAGUGGCGGACGGGUGAGUAAUGACUGGGAAACUGACUGAGGGAGGGGGAUAACUACUGGAAACGGUAGCUAAUACCGCAUACCAUCGGAUGUGCCGGGAUGGGAUUAGCUAGUAGGUGGGGUAACGGCUUACCUAGGCGACGAUCCCUAGUUGGUCUGAGAGGAUGACCAGCCACACUGGAACUGAGACACGGUCCAGACUCCUACGGGAGGCAGCAGUGGGGAAUAUUGGACAAUGGGCGCAAGCCUGAUGCAGCCAUGCCGCGUGUAUGAAGAAGGCCUUCGGAUUGUAAAGUACUUUCAGCGGGGAGGCGUUACUCGCAGAAGAAGCACCGGCUAACUCCGUGCCAGCAGCCGCGGUAAUAC